CAAUACGGUUGAUAGAGUCGGUGUAUGCUGCGUAAUAGUGUUUUCAAUAUUCUGCAAAGUAUUUUUUAAGCUUUUAUUAAACUUAUCUACGUAAUUAUAGUAGUCAUACGUGGAAUUAGAGUCAGUGCUUGUUCGUCGAAUUACUUAAACGAGCGCGUUACUAGUAUUUUAUUUUUCUCUUUUUACGUAUACGAUCAUUUUUUUUUUUUAAUAUCUGUUUUCGGUAUUAGAGUCAGUGCUCAAGAGGAUUUAGCCUGUCCAGGAGUUUAAGAAUGUUUCUCAUAACCUCCACUUUUUCCUGUUCCUUGGAGAGGAUUCAAUGAUGCUUCAGAAGCCAGGAAUUUGGAAAACAAUUUCAACGUCCAUUUUCUUUCCGAAGGUCGAACCUAUCUUCGAAAGAAGCCAUCAUCCGAAUUACUUUCUCGCAGCGAACCCGGGGAUCGUACUGACUAAGGCCGAACCAAGAUUUCCACCCGGAUACUGAAGAAAGGAGGGGAGUAUACGGUGAACAACCACGGCAGCUUCUUUUAUGCUCUGCAACUUUCUGGAAGAGAAUUAUGUAAAAGCGUUAUCGUUUUAUCCCGACGUUGCUCGACGGUAAGGUUAUUAAAGUCCAAGGGACGAGGUAGUGGAUUGGAAUCUAAGGAGAUUCGACACGUGUGUAUGACAAAUGCGUGAUUAUAGAAGUCGUAUCGAUCGUUUUGAGGAGAAGUGAAAGCGGAAGUGGUUCUUUUUUGACGAGUCACGACUGAAAUUGUACAACUCGUAACGAAUUACCGAAAGGUAAUUCCUUCGCUUUGGGUGAUUUGAUAGGAGCUACACGGAUGAUGGAUAGACGAAGGUGAAAGUUUACCGAAUGUGGCGUUAUUUCUUUUUCUUUUUUGUCGGAACCUCGAGGAUAUAUGAAAAAAAAAAAAAAAAAGAAUCUGGCGAAAUACCAUGAUCCGAAGUAUGACGGACAGUUUCGACAAGCGAUUAAAAUUCGCGACGCGACGGUUCUAUGGCUGACCGGUCAUCGAUCGACAAACGUCUCUCCUAUCUCUGUACGGCUUCGCUCUGUGAUUAUUUGAAUGAAGCAAAAAUGACCAGCAGCACGCGGGCGAGCAGCGUCAAAAAGGUGGCUGGUAUAAAUGAAUAAAGCAAUUUCUCGAUUGACUGAUGAAAAGCACUCCCAAGCAUAUAAUGAUACUGAUGAAAAUUGCCGCUUUCGUUUGACUUAUGAAGCAUUAAACUGAGUUUAGAAGCUUUUGCCUAGGUCGGCCGGCAUCGAGCGGUUUUUCUAAAAAUAAAACCGGUAAAUAGGCUAGAGGCUCGUCCCUCGGAAAGAGUUUUCCCGGUAGCGUUUUCCUUUAAUGAGACCAUUCACCAUUACCUCGGCCUUUCCUUUUUUCACUCCCUUCCUUCACCACCCGCCAGGUGGCAGCUUCAAGCGCAAAAACUAGGAGCUUUGUACGUGUCAAUAUUCCACGUCUGUUCAUAAAAGACGACUCGUGUCUCGUCGCACCAAAGGUAGAGGAAUAAAAACAUUAAAUCGGGCACAAGGGUAAAAGAGUAACGCGAACUAGCGGGGAUCUAUUAAAGAAGGAUCAAGCUGCGGCAAAUUGCCGGCUGAAAAGGUGGUGUGUCGUAGCUAAAAUUAUCGAGCCUCGACGAAAAACCGCUUAUCUAAUCGUUGGUAGAAAAAAAAAUUGUCUCCCAAUUGCUCUUCCUCUUUUAGAAACGAACAUAACGUAACGUAAGUAAUAAAGUCACGCGAUAUCGUUGUACGGCCACGUCGGCUGUCAAUUAACAUCAGAUUUCUCCGUGUAAGAGAAACUUUUACGAGAGAGUGAAAGAACGUGGAGGCGCGUCGACGCCGUCACAAAGUAGAACGUAACCACGUACACGAUUCGUGAACGUGGUCAAAUAUUUAUCGUAGCCUGCACUGGAAUCGGAACGACGUACGAUCGGUUGUAAAUCGACAAUAAAUGCGCGGCCAACACGAAGGUUUAACUAUUAGAUAACAGCGGCGCACGUUUCGAAGCAAACCGUCAUCAUCGACCAGCUUUCCUUGCUUCCUCUCUGACAAAUAAAAUCCUGACGGAAACGUAUUCGAUCACGUAUCGACCCUUCGUCUGGUCUAUGAUCUGGCCCACGCGUAUCCUUCUGUCAAUGAAGUCGUUCGAUCGAAAUCGUUUCAUUGAAAUCGUUCGUAUAUGAUUUGCAGACGGCGCGAAAUUUUUCGUGAUCGUCGCGAGUAAUUAAGGAACCGGCAUGCAAAGAGGGACGAACGACGAGAGCAAGAUUGGCUACAGGAUGAAAAACGACGAAGGAGCACGGGCUACGCGUUCAGCUAUAGCUUGGUGUUACAGGGACCACGAGUACGAAUGGUAAUUUCAAUCUGUAAGGAUUAUCCGGAUAACCGAGGUAAUCGAUAUUUAUAUCGAAGUCAGAGGCGUGGGAGGCAACGGAGAAAGGAUCUAGCGACCGAAGUGACGUUGGAGGAACGGGCUUAAGCCGCAGAUAUUGUGAUUCCCGAACCUUUGCGGAAAUACUUAAAUGCCGGAUACAUUGUAACCUUCGUCCAGGUAUUUCGUCGGUGGAUUUUUUGAAAUAUCGAUGUCUGUUUACCUCGUGGUCUACGAGAUGAGCCUGUUGUAUUAUACGCGUAUGAAAGGAACGAUCGUUAAAAU